UACGAAGGGGGCUAGCGUUGUUCGGAAUUACUGGGCGUAAAGCGCACGUAGGCGGAUAUUUAAGUCAGGGGUGAAAUCCCAGAGCUCAACUCUGGAACUGCCUUUGAUACUGGGUAUCUUGAGUAUGGAAGAGGUAAGUGGAAUUGCGAGUGUAGAGGUGAAAUUCGUAGAUAUUCGCAGGAACACCAGUGGCGGAAGGCGGCUUACUGGUCCAUAACUGACGCUGAGGUGGCGAAAAGC
rnacentral:rRNA from 1 species